CAAAAAAUCGUGUGACAUGAAAAGAUUUUGUGUAAGCAGUUGGAAAAAAGAGUAAAAUGUUUGGUGGAGCUCUGCUUGUAGUUCCUGCUGAUGUCCACCAGAGGGCGCCAUGUAACCACUGAACUAUAUGUGGUAAUGCUCUCUGGGCGGUUCCUCUUGUUUCCUGUUCAACGUUUACUUUCACUUUCCAGAGGCUGAUGUGACGCAGCUUUUUCUCUCUGUGUGGAGCUCCAGCUGAAGGACCCAUCAGAGACCAGACCCUGCUGAACCUGAACCUGAACCCAGCUGUGUGUCCAUGAAGAGUCACCGGUCCAUGGAGACACUAGUUUAAAAAAGACCUGUAAGGGAGAGGAGAAUAGAAAUGGAGGAGAGGCUGCUUGAACUGGAGGAGAGAGGAUUGAUGGAGAGACUUGAAUGGCAGAAGGAGAGAAUAACAAUGGAAAAGGAAAUUGAAAUGUUAAGAAGAAGAUUGAGGACCCACCAGAGACCAGAGUCUCCUGAACCUGAACCUGAACCUGAACCCAGCUGUGUGUCCUUUAAGAGCGACCAGUCAAAGGAUGAUGUGAUUAAUUUUAAACGUGUUUCUGACAUAAAAGAGGACCAGGAGAGCUCAGAGGUUCCCAGUGGUCAGUCUGCCCAGCAGCAUCAAACACACCUGGACUCUAUAUUUAUGGUCUGUACAUGUACAUCAACUACUUUUACAUCUAUUCUGUUCACAAUCAUCUCCAUGCUGCACUU
rnacentral:lncRNA from 1 species